rnacentral:pre_miRNA from 1 species
UUGCCACUCCCUCCGUUCGGAAUUACUCGUCCAAAAAAUGAAUGCAUCUAGAUGUAUUUUAGUUGUAGAUACAUCCAUUUUUAUGACAAGUAAUUCCGAACGGAGGGAGUACUUU